AACGAACGCGGGCGGCGUGUCUUAAGCAUGCAAGUCGUGCGGCAAGGUGUAGCAAUACCCCCUAGAGCGGCGGACUGGUGAGUAACGCGUGGGUGAUCUGCCUUUGGGAUGGGGAUAGCCAUUAGAAAUAGUGGGUAAUACCGAAUACGCUUCCCUGGUUGCGACCAGGGAAGGAAAAGCGCUUCGGCGCUGCCCGAAGGUGAGCCCGCGUCCCAUUAGCUAGUUGGUGAGGUAAUGGCCCACCAAGGCGAUGAUGGGUAGCCGGCCUGAGAGGGUGUACGGCCACACUGGGACUGAGAUACGGCCCAGACUCCUACGGGAGGCAGCAGCUAAGAAUAUUCCGCAAUGGACGAAAGUCUGACGGAGCGACGCCGCGUGGAUGACGAAGGCCGAAAGGUUGUAAAGUCCUUUUGUUGGGGAAGAAUAACCAUGGGAGGGAAUGCCCGUGGGAUGACAUGAACCGACGAAUAAGCCCCGGCUAACUACGUGCCAGCAGCCGCGGUAACACGUAGGGGGCAAGCGUUGCUCGGAAUUACUGGGCGUAAAGGGCAUGUAGGCGGCUUUGUAAGCCCGGCGUGGAAGCCCACGGCUCAACCGUGGGAUUGCGUUGGGAACUGCAAGGCUUGAAUCAUGGAGAGGGAGCUAGAAUUCCUGGUGUAGGGGUGAAAUCUGUAGAGAUCAGGAAGAAUACCAGUGGCGAAGGCGAGCUCCUGGCCAAUGAUUGACGCUGAGGUGCGAAAGUGUGGGGAUCAAACAGGAUUAGAUACCCUGGUAGUCCACACUGUAAACGAUGUGCACUAGGUGCUGGGGCGGAUGCUUCAGUGCCGGAGCU
rnacentral:rRNA from 1 species